rnacentral:rRNA from 1 species
AACGAACGCUGGCGGCAGGCCUAACACAUGCAAGUCGAGCGAGGACUUCGGUUCUAGCGGCGGACGGGUGAGUAACGCGUGGGAAUGUGCCCUUCUCUACGGAAUAGCCCUGGGAAACUGGGAGUAAUACCGGAUAUGCCCUAUCGGGGAAAGAUUUAUCGGAGAAGGAUCAGCCCGCGUUGGCUUAGGUAGUUGGUGGGGUAAUGGCCUACCAAGCCGACGAUCCAUAGCGGGUUUGAGAGGAUGAUCAGCCACACUGGGACUGAGACACGGCCCAGACUCCUACGGGAGGCAGCAGUGGGGAAUCUUAGACAAUGGGGGCAACCCUGAUCGAGCCAUGCCGCGUGAGUGAUGAAGGCCUUAGGGUUGUAAAGCUCUUUCAGCUGGGAAGAUAAUGACGGUACCAGCAGAAGAAGCCCCGGCUAACUCCGUG